UCCCUGGUGGCUCAGUGGUAAAGAAUCUGCCUGCAAUGCAGGAGACACGGGUUCGAUCCCUGAUCCAGGAA
rnacentral:tRNA from 1 species